CUCUACCAUGGAUUGACGAUGGGUAGUUGACCCUCCUGGGAUUGGGACAUGGAUGGAUGAUGACAUCUAAAACACCAUUAAUUCAACUACUAUUGUGGCCCUAUCCUUGAACAGUGUUCAACGUUUAGUGAUUUGGUAACUGGAUUUUGGGCUGUUUUUACUCCUAGAAGAUCACAAGAUAGGGUAAAUAGAAUUCCAAGAUAAGAUCUUGAUUUUAUUAAAAAAUAUUUUGUUAGAGGGACUGAAAAAUGACUCCAAAAAAAGAUUUCACCAGGCAUUAGAUCCCCUGUACGAGUGUUAAAGUUCACUAGCCUAUGAUUAUUAUAGAAAACCCAAAAUAAGAAGAUUUAUCAGGGUCGAAUGGAAAUGUUCAAGCCUUUCAGACGAGAGAACACAGAAGACAGAGAAUUAGGGCUAUAACGAAUGAAUCGUCUGCAUGAUCUCAAUGGCUGCUUGACUCUGCUCGGGGAUUUCAACCACUGACUUUCGUCAACAAUUGAGAUUAAAGAUAAACUACCAAAUCUGGGACUCAUCUCAUUGUCCAAUAAUCGUGUGCCAAUUGGACUCCACUUAACAAUGUGGUUGGAUAGGGUCCGAAUUUUCGGGUAUUUAGUAAUUGAAAUCGUUGGGUCCAGAUUUAAUUAUGGAAUCCUUCGAUUCGGUUCGAUUUCAUUAGAUUCCUGGGUUUCAUAUAGUAUUAAAUGUUUUAAUAUUUACAACAACGCAGCAUUAAUUCAACUAAUGAUAUGUCUAAUCUCAGC
rnacentral:lncRNA from 1 species